AGACCCGAAACCCGGUGAUCUAGCCAUGGGCAGGUUGAAGGUUGGGUAACACUAACUGGAGGACCGAACCGACUAAUGUUGAAAAAUUAGCGGAUGACCUGUGGCUGGGGGUGAAAGGCCAAUCAAACCGGGAGAUAGCUGGUUCUCCCCGAAAGCUAUUUAGGUAGCGCCUCGUGAAUUCAUCUCCGGGGGUAGAGCACUGUUUCGGCUAGGGGGCCAUCCCGGCUUACCAACCCGAUGCAAACUGCGAAUACCGGAGAAUGUUAUCACGGGAGACACACGGCGGGUGCUAACGUCCGUCGUGAAGAGGGAAACAACCCAGACCGCCAGCUAAGGUCCCAAAGUCAUGGUUAAGUGGGAAACGAUGUGGGAAGGCCCAGACAGCCAGGAUGUUGGCUUAGAAGCAGCCAUCAUUUAAAGAAAGCGUAAUAGCUCACUGGUCGAGUCGGCCUGCGCGGAAGAUGUAACGGGGCUAAACCAUGCACCGAAGCUGCGGCAGCGACGCUGAUGCGUUGUUGGGUAGGGGAGCGUUCUGUAAGCCUGCGAAGGUGGCCUGUGAGGGUUGCUGGAGGUAUCAGAAGUGCGAAUGCUGACAUAAGUAACGAUAAAGCGGGUGAAAAGCCCGCUCGCCGGAAGACCAAGGGUUCCUGUCCAACGUUAAUCGGGGCAGGGUGAGUCGACCCCUAAGGCGAGGCCGAAAGGCGUAGUCGAUGGGAAACGGGUUAAUAUUCCCGUACUUGGUGUUACUGCGAAGGGGGGACGGAGAAGGCUAUGUUGGCCGGGCGACGGUUGUCCCGGUUUAAGCGUGUAGGUGUGUGUUCCAGGUAAAUCCGGUUCACUUUAACACUGAGGCGUGAUGACGAGGCACUACGGUGCUGAAGCAACAAAUGCCCUGCUUCCAGGAAAAGCCUCUAAGCAUCAGGUAACAUCAAAUCGUACCCCAAACCGACACAGGUGGUCAGGUAGAGAAUACCAAGGCGCUUGAGAGAACUCGGGUGAAGGAACUAGGCAAAAUGGUGCCGUAACUUCGGGAGAAGGCACGCUGACACGUAGGUGAAGUGAUUUACUCAUGGAGCUGAAGUCAGUCGAAGAUACCAGCUGGCUGCAACUGUUUAUUAAAAACACAGCACUGUGCAAACACGAAAGUGGACGUAUACGGUGUGACGCCUGCCCGGUGCCGGAAGGUUAAUUGAUGGGGUCAGCGCAAGCGAAGCUCCUGAUCGAAGCCCCGGUAAACGGCGGCCGUAACUAUAACGGUCCUAAGGUAGCGAAAUUCCUUGUCGGGUAAGUUCCGACCUGCACGAAUGGCGUAAUGAUGGCCAGGCUGUCUCCACCCGAGACUCAGUGAAAUUGAACUCGCUGUGAAGAUGCAGUGUACCCGCGGCAAGACGGAAAGACCCCGUGAACCUUUACUAUAGCUUGACACUGAACAUUGAGCCUUGAUGUGUAGGAUAGGUGGGAGGCUUUGAAGUG
rnacentral:rRNA from 1 species